GCGGAGAUGAAACCGGUCUUUCAAACCGGCGUGGAGCAAUGGCAGCAGCCCAAGAGGGAGUGAAAAUUGAACCGACAGUUUUGUAACAGGAGACGAGGAAACCCCUGAAGGAGGAGAAAAAAACAACAACUGUGCCUGAUUUCUGGCGUGCUCCCUGGGUGUGAAGCCCAAAGGUGACUUCUUCGGCUUCUAGACAUCUUUAAGGCAGGAGUGCAACUUUUGAAAAGUGAUGCCUCCAAAUUUCAUUGACAUCUCUUCAUGAUCAACAAUGUAAAAAGCCACCAAAAGAGGAGAAAAAAACAACAACUGUGCCUGAUUUCUGGCAUGCUCCUUGGAUGUGAAGCCCAAAGGUGACUUCUUCGGCUUCUGUACGGAAGUAAAAGAAUUUUAUCUUUCUUUAAUCCUGUGAGAGCAUUGGCUUCUUCACACUGGAUUCCUGCACCUAGCCAGCCUUCUGGCCAAUCCUGCUAAUACACCUUAUUUUCCCUUCUUUCUUCAGAAGUCUCUAAAUAAUAAUAAAAAAAAAUCUGAGAAUUCUACUGAUUUCAGUGAACUGAUAUAUCUUAAGCUGAUAUUGUCAUGUUUCUUGUUCCACUUAACACAGUUGAUUUUCACGUUUUGUAAAUUAUACUUUCUGAAAAUCUUUCCAAUUGCUAUCCUUCUGUGAUUCCAGGGUGUCUUCUUCGUGUGUUGAAACCACUACUGUUUCUUACAGCUAGUCCUUGACUUAUGACAAUUUGUUCAGCAACCAUUUGAAAUAACAAUGGAGCUGAACAAAGAGACUUAAUGACCUCUCUCUGAAAUUCUGUUUGUUGCAGUAUCCCUGUAGGUAGUCAUCAAAAUUUGGGUGCUUGGCAGCACGCCUGCCUUUACAACUGUGGGAGUCCUGCAACUCUCACUCCAUCCAUGGGCUGGGACACAUUGGCUAGCUAAGCCUAGCAGCUUGUGUAAUUAUGGCUAAAAAAACAACAACACUGAAAUGCUUGGUUUACCUCAUAGUGAACUGCUUAUGACUUGACAAAUUCAGAACCAACAACAGUAUUUAAUUUACAGAUGUGGAAUGGUAUAAUAUUAUAUAUGCUUCAGUCUUUUGAAUUCUAAAGCCC